UGUUGAGGAAGAUAAUGACGGUACUCAACAAGGAAGUGACGGCUAACUACGUGCCAGCAGCCGCGGUAAAACGUAGGUCACAAGCGUUGUCCGGAAUUACUGGGUGUAAAGGGAGCGCAGGCGGGAGAACAAGUUGGAAGUGAAAUCCAUGGGCUCAACCCAUGAACUGCUUUCAAAACUGUUUUUCUUGAGUAGUGCAGAGGUAGGCGGAAUUCCCGGUGUAGCGGUGGAAUGCGUAGAUAUCGGGAGGAACACCAGUGGCGAAGGCGGCCUACUGGGCACCAACUGACGCUGAGGCUCGAAAGUGUGGGUAGCAAACAGGAUUAGAUACCCUGGUAGUCCACACCGUAAACGAUGAUUACUAGGUGUUGGAGGAUUGACCCCUUCAGUGCCGCAGUUAACACAAUAAGUAAUCCACCUGGGGAGUACGACCGCAAGGUUGAAACUCAAAGGAAUUGACGGGGGCCCGCACAAGCAGUGGAGUAUGUGGUUUAAUUCGACGCAACGCGAAGAACCUUACCAAGUCUUGACAUCCCUUGACGAUGCUGGAAACAGUAUUUCUCUUCGGAGCAAGGAGACAGGUGGUGCAUGGUUGUCGUCAGCUCGUGUCGUGAGAUGUUGGGUUAAGUCCCGCAACGAGCGCAACCCUUAUGGUCAGUUACUACGCAAGAGGACUCUGGCCAGACUGCG
rnacentral:rRNA from 1 species